UACGUAGGGGGUAAGCGUUGUCCGGAUUUAUUGGGCGUAAAGAGCGUGUAGGCGGCCUGACAGGUCUGCUGUGAAAACUCGAGGCUCAACCUCGAGAUGUCGGCGGAAACCGUCUGGCUAGAGUCCGGAAGAGGAGAGUGGAAUUCCUGGUGUAGCGGUGAAAUGCGCAGAUAUCAGGAAGAACACCUAUGGCGAAGGCAGCUCUCUGGGACGGUACUGACGCUGAGACGCGAAAGCGUGGGGAGCGAACGGG
rnacentral:rRNA from 1 species